AGUGAACGCUGGCGGUAGGCCUAACACAUGCAAGUCGAACGGCAGCACAGUAAGAGCUUGCUCUUACGGGUGGCGAGUGGCGGACGGGUGAGGAAUACAUCGGAAUCUACUUUUUCGUGGGGGAUAACGUAGGGAAACUUACGCUAAUACCGCAUACGAUCUACGGGUGAAAGCAGGGGAUCUUCGGACCUUGCGCGAUUGAAUGAGCCGAUGUCGGAUUAGCUAGUUGGCGGGGUAAGGGCCCACCAAGGCGACGAUCCGUAGCUGGUCUGAGAGGAUGAUCAGCCACACUGGAACUGAGACACGGUCCAGACUCCUACGGGAGGCAGCAGUAGGGAAUAUUGGACAAUGGGCGCAAGCCUGAUCCAGCCAUACCGCGUGAGUGAAGAAGGCCUUCGGGUUGUAAAGCCCUUUUGUUGGGAAAGAAAAACAGCAGAUGAAUACCCCGCUGUUCUGACGGUACCCAAAGAAUAAGCACCGGCUAACUUCGUG
rnacentral:rRNA from 1 species